rnacentral:rRNA from 1 species
AGGUCAAGCUAUUAAGGGCGUGAGGUGGAUGCCUUGGCACGGAAAGACGAUGAAGGGCGUGGUAAGCUGCGAUAAGCGCCGGAGAGGUGCAAGCAACCCUAGAUCCGGCGAUUCCCGAAUGGGGCAACCCGGCGCGGGUAAUGCCGCGUCAUCAUGCGGUGAACACAUAGCCGUAUGAGGCGAACGGGGGGAAUUGAAACAUCUUAGUACCCCCAGGAAAAGAAAACAACAGUGAUUCCCCAAGUAGCGGCGAGCGAACGGGGAUCUUAGCCCAAACCUGUAUCACAUGCUGCCCGUUGGCUUAGUGGUAUAGGGGUAGUGGGAACCGGCAGGCGGAGCGACGGAUCCGCCGCGGAGUUACAAAGGAAUUCUUUAGCCGAAUAAUUCUGGAAAGGUUAACCGAAGACGGUGAUAGUCCGGUAGGCGAAAGGGGAUUCCCUCCGGCCGGUUUCCCAAGUACCGCGGGACACGAGGAAUCCUGUGGGAAUCCGGGAGGACCAUCUCCUAAGGCUAAAUACUCUUCCGUGACCGAUAGUGAACCAGUACCAUGAGGGAAAGGUGAAAAGUACCCCGUGAGGGGAGUGAAAUAGUACCUGAAAC